AUUGAACGCUGGCGGCAUGCUUUACACAUGCAAGUCGAACGGCAGCACGGGUGCUUGCACCUGGUGGCGAGUGGCGAACGGGGGAGUAAUGCACCGGAACGUAUCCAAUAAUGGGGGAUAACGCACCGAAAGGUGUGCUAAUACCGCAUACGCCCUGAGGGGGAAAGCGGGGGACCGAAAGGCCUCGCUUUACUGGAGCGGCCGAUGCCGGAUUAGCUAGUUGGUGAGGAAAAGGCUCACCAAGGCGACGAUCCGUAGCUGGUCUGAGAGGACGACCAGCCACACUGGGACUGAGACACGGCCCAGACUCCUACGGGAGGCAGCAGUGGGGAAUUUUGGACAAUGGGCGCAAGCCUGAUCCAGCCAUGCCGCGUGAGUGAAGAAGGCCUUCGGGUUGUAAAGCUCUUUCGCAAGGAAAGAAAACUCAUCUCCUAAUACGAGGUGAGGAUGACGGUACCUUGAUAAGAAGCACCGGCUAACUACGUGCCAGCCGCCGCCGUAA
rnacentral:rRNA from 1 species